UACAGGGGGGCAAGCGUUGUUCGGAAUUACUGGGCGUAAAGGGCUCGUAGGCGGCCAACUAAGUCCGACGUGAAAUCCCCAGCUAACUUGGGAACUGCCUUGAUACUGGUGAUCGUUGAGUCCGGGAGAGGUGAGUGGAACUGCGAGUGUAGAGGUGAAAUUCGUAGAUAUUCGCAAGAACACCAGUGGCGAAGGCGGCUCACUGGCCCGGUACUGACGCCUGAGGUGCGAAAGCGUGGGAGCAAACAGG
rnacentral:rRNA from 1 species